rnacentral:rRNA from 1 species
ACGAACGCUGGCGGCAUGCCUAGCACAUGCAAGUCGAACGAGACCUUCGGGUCUAGUGGCGCACGGGUGCGUAACGCGUGGGAACCUGCCUUUAGGUUCGGAAUAACUCAGAGAAAUUUGAGCUAAUACCGGAUGAUGUCUUCGGACCAAAGAUUUAUCGCCUUUAGAUGGGCCCGCGUUGGAUUAGCUAGUUGGUGGGGUAAAGGCCUACCAAGGCGACGAUCCAUAGCUGGUCUGAGAGGAUGAUCAGCCACACUGGGACUGAGACACGGCCCAGACUCCUACGGGAGGCAGCAGUGGGGAAUAUUGGACAAUGGGCGAAAGCCUGAUCCAGCAAUGCCGCGUGAGUGAUGAAGGCCUUAGGGUUGUAAAGCUCUUUUACCCGAGAUGAUAAUGACAGUAUCGGGAGAAUAAGCUCCGGCUAACUCCGUG